ACCGAACCAGACGAACUAAUCAUUUCUCUUUCCGGUACUGACAGCAGCAUAGUCUCUAUGGGACUGACAGGAAGAACGAAAGACUCGGACCCGGCCGAACCCGAAGACUCGCGAAAGAUGAACUAAUCAUUUAUGACUUCAUGUACCUUAUGCGAUGUUGCGCGCAUGCGCGGUCAACACAAAAUGAACGAAUCACUCUCUGAGACAACUCGGUAGUCCCGAGUCAUAUUAAAGAUUCGUUCAAAAUGAACGAAUCGUUCAUGAACGACACAUCACUACUACUGUGGACUUCGACCGAAAACAGGAAGAAAAUACGGCCCUAGACACAGGAGCAAGAUCGGAGCAGGACCAGGGGGAGAGCAGUGGGACCAGUGAGACCAGUGAGUGGAUCACCCUGAUGAAACGACUCAGGCCCUCUGCAGAGAACAUUCCUUCAAUCAAAUCAGCAAUGGAGAAUACAUACACCAGGCGCAGAUCAUGGAUAUCAAAGGCAACUCCUACAUUGACUGAAAUCUUCAACGAAUACCCACGCUUCUUGGAUAUGCCAAGUUUGAUGGAUAUCGAGUUUGGCAAAAUAACAGAUGGAAAGUCAGACCAGUUCAUCAGAAAAUGGGAAGCGACCAUCAUUCCAAAGCUGAGAGCAUUGGCUGCCUUGGAAAAAGGUGGUGUUGCUUCACUUACGGAGGG